GCAUGAGAGGGAUGGAAAGACCAGUCUGGUUCAAGUGCAGAGUGCACACAGGGGAAAUGAAGGCAAGUGAGAAAAGGCUGCAAAGAUAAGUUGGGGCCCGUUUGAGGAAGGUUUGGAGUCUGAAGUAAACAUGAUCUACUCACUCUCAUGACCUCACCUUUAGGCCCCUUCCUGGUGUCUUCUCCCUUCUUAUACAGUGGAGAGCAAUUUUGGAGAGUACCAUUUGUUCCUCCUGCAGGCUUUUAUGUACGUCAAGAGCCCUCAGAAGAACCUCCAACAGGCAGCCAUGAAGUUUAUUGGUGGAAUGCUUCAGGAGUAUUUUUCUGAUCUCUGCUUUUAUUUGAACAAGUCAGAUGUGAAGCUACUGACAAAAAAUUUUGAAGAGCUUCGAAGGGACCAAGACCCCAACAUCAGAAAGUUCUACCUGAACUAUUCAGAAGACAUCUAUGAGCUGUCCAAAUAUGUGGCCUGAAGCUUCAGUAAUUUGCCUUUUGUGUUUUUUUUAAAAAAAAAAGUCAUUGGUUUUAUCAUUCAUUCAUCAGUAGCAAAAUAAAAGUUGAGUUUAAUUCA
rnacentral:lncRNA from 1 species